GGUUUGUUAUCAAAGUAGGCGGGGUUAUUUGGGAAAAAUAAGACCGAAUAUGUUCAAAGGAAAUCUAUAAUAAGAAACUAUAAGGAGGGUGGUCUUAAUGCUUUAGAUUUUAAUAUCAUUAACCAGACUUUCAAAAUGAACUGGAUCAAGAAUUGUUUAUCUAAUAAUGAGUUACCCUGGUUUUGGAUCCCUAAUCUAUUCUUCAAACAUUGUGGUGGCCUUAAAUUUUUAUUGGCCUUUAACUUUAAGUGUAGUAAGUUACCUAUUAAACUGUCAAAUUUUCAUAAACAACCCCUAGAAUCCUGAAAGAUUGCUUUUAAACAUAAUUUCUCCCCGCACAUGUGUAUUCUUUGGAACAAUGAAAAUAUUUUGUCUGGUAACAAAUAACUUUUUUUUCAUUGAAUGGGUGAAUGAAAAUAUCUUUUUUGUUUCUGAUUUGUUCAAUGCUGAUGGGGACCUUCUUUCCUUACCUGAUUUUGUGUCUUUGAAAGGUGCAACAAUCUCACUAAGAGAUUUUAAUAAGGUGACUAAAAGUAUUCCUGUCAGUUUUCCUACACUUGUGUUUAAUGGUGUUUAUGUAUUAGAUAAGAAAUGCAAUAACUUUUUUAUUAGAAAUGCUCUUUCUUCAACUCCAGGAUGCCCCUCUAAAGCACAAUCUAAAUGGAGGAUCUGUUAUCCGAACUCUGAAUUAAAAAAAUUUAUGGACCUUUUCUCACAGACUAUUAAUCCCAAAUUUUUGAGCAGAUUUUCUGAGAAUAUAUCCUCAAUGUGUUCAUUUUGUAAUUCUGAUGAAGAAUCUAUUCUACAUCUGUUUUAUCAUUGCCCAUUCUCCAAAUCCUUUUUGGUCAGAUGUUUACCAUUGUUAAUUUUUUCUUGCUGUAACAAAAUUGAUAGAAUUAACAGAAUCUACUGUUAUCCGAACUACUGAAUUAAAAAAUUUAUGGACCUUUUCUCACAGACUAUUAAUCCCAAAUUUUUGAGCAGAUUUUCUGAGAAUAUAUCCUCAAUGUGUUCAUUUUGUAAUUCUGAUGAAGAAUCUAUUCUACAUCUGUUUUAUCAUUGCCCAUUCUCCAAAUCUUUUUGGUCAGAAGUUACCAUGUUAAUUUUUUCUUGCUGUAAGAAAAUGAUAGAAAUAACAGAAUCUAUUAUUUUUGUGUCAGAUUUUCAUUCCAAGGACAUUAAUCUGGAACAUAUUGUUUUAUUGCUUUGUCUUCUGGGUAAAUUUCACCUUCAUAAAGCACGCAAAGCCAUCCAUUGCAAAACCUAACUUUAGAAUGUUUUCAUCUGAUAUAAAGUCCCUUUUUACUUCCUUUAAGAAUAUGUCAAAUCCUUUGAAUUCAAAGGCUUUAAAAACUUUUAACAUUAUUGAGUCUAUUGUAAGCUAUCUUUAAAAGAUUAUUCCUUUCCUUUUUUUGUAUUUAUUUAUUUUUUAUUUAUCCUUGAUAUAUCUUGUAAAUUUGUGUAGCUUAUCUAACUUCAUGUGAUGAUGUCCGUUUGCCCCCAGUUACUUCAAAUCUACUGUUAUGCUUUCAACUGACAAAAAAAAAAAAAAAAAAAAAAAAAAAAAUACAACAACAACAACAACAACAAAACAUUGCCGGGUUCAGUCCCGAAACGAGCCCUGUGUGAACAAAAGCCAGAACCAACUGCCGUGUCGUAAUAUCUUGUAAAUUUGUAGUAGCUUAUCUAACUUCAAUGUGAUGAUGUCCGUUUGCCCCCAGUUACCUUCAAAUCUAACUGUUAUGACUUUCAACUAGCAAAACAAAAAAAAAAAAAAAAAAAAAUAAAAACAAACAACAACAACAACAACAAAACAUUGCCGGGUUCAGUCCCGAAACGAGCCCUGUGUGAACAAAAGCCAGAACCAAUGCCGUGUCGUAGUGAUGACGCACGUUAUCUGCGACUCUUUUAUCUGGUGUUUUGAAGGCAGAUCAAAGUUCGCGACGAAAAAUUAGAUGCAAACUGUAAUGAAGCAGAGAUCAAGUAGUUCCUCACUAUCCGCACUGAAGCUGAGAUCGUUCUCCAGAUUAAGGGAAAGUUAAGGUGCCUAGCGUUUUCGACUCGUGUAUAACACGUCACACCCUGAUGUAACGUGUCAUUACGGACCUUUACGGGUUGUGUGUGAACGCACGCACAUAUUCCGGGUAAUCACUGGCAGUGUGAAAGGGGCAAAAUCUAACGACCCGGGAACAAUUGCCGGGACACAUUAUCCAUGUAUUUUCCGGAAUCGCAGUGUGAAAGGGGCUUUGUUGACAAGAAUGCUCCCAUGCUGAAAGUGACCUUUCCAUAGGAUAAAC
rnacentral:lncRNA from 1 species